AAGUCCGCAACGAGCGCAACCCCACGUUAGUUGCUAACGCGUGAAGGCGAGCACUCUAGACGAACUGCCGUUGCAAAACGGAGGAAGGUGGGGAUGACGUCAAAUCAUCAUGCCCCUUAUGUUCUGGGCUACACACGUGCUACAAUGGCCGGUACAGACGGACGCAAAGCCGCGAGGUGGAGCAAAUCCUAAAAAGCCGGUCUCAGUUCGGAUUGCAGGCUGCAAUUCGCCUGCAUGAAGUCGGAAUCGCUAGUAAUCGCAGGUCAGCAUACUGCGGUGAAUCCGUUCCCGGGCCUU
rnacentral:rRNA from 1 species